UACGUAGGGUGCGAGCGUUGUCCGGAAUUACUGGGCGUAAAGAGCUCGUAGGUGGUUUGUCGCGUUGUCCGUGAAAACUCACAACUCAAUUGUGGGCGUGCGGGCGAUACGGGCAGACUGGAGUACUGCAGGGGAGACUGGAAUUCCUGGUGUAGCGGUGGAAUGCGCAGAUAUCAGGAGGAACACCGGUGGCGAAGGCGGGUCUCUGGGCAGUAACUGACACUGAGGCACGAAAGCCAAGGGAGCAAACAGG
rnacentral:rRNA from 1 species